rnacentral:lncRNA from 1 species
AAGGGUUGAACAAAAACAUAUAAAAAGAAUUGGACAAUAUAUCUUGAUAGCAAAUUUAAAACUACUUAUCAAUAUCGAGUUUUUUUCAGUCGUGCCUCUAGAUUUUGUUCAGAUUUGGCAGAGGUCUCUUUAUGUAAAGAUCCGUUUUAGAUAUGUGGAUAUAUCUCACUGCCAUGAAUGUCUCUUUUGGUGAGGAUUAGGGUUUUAACUUUUGAGACCAGAAGCCUUGGUGUGGAGAAUUGCAGAGGUUCGGUGCUCGGGUCCUGGUUGAUGUGAGAUAGUGCUCUGGUGCGUGGUUGAGCAUCAAGUCGUAGCUAAGUGGUUAUGCCAUUUCUCUUGGAUGUUGUCUUCCUCUCGAGUCCUUGCCGACUUGGCAUCCUGGAUUCCGAUUAGGCGCCGCUCCUGAAGGGUAUGAUUGCUCUAUUCUCAUCAUGGUUUGGCUUCUAAUGAGCUAGUUUAUUGGUCCAUGUUUUUGGCUCGUUGUCCUGGCCUUUGUGUUGCUUGUUGUGUAUUCAUUUUUUGGCUUUAAC